rnacentral:rRNA from 1 species
UACGGGGGGGGCAAGCGUUGUUCGGAAUUACUGGGCGUAAAGGGCUCGUAGGCGGCCAACUAAGUCAGACGUGAAAUCCCUCGGCUUAACCGGGGAACUGCAUCUGAUACUGGAUGGCUUGAGAUUGGGAGAGGGAUGCGGAAUUCCAGGUGUAGCGGUGAAAUGCGUAGAUAUCUGGAGGAACACCGGUGGCGAAGGCGGCAUCCUGGACCAACACUGACGCUGGGGCACGAAAGCUAGGGGAGCAAACAGG